GAAGAAGAAAGGGAGGGACCAUUGGAGCAAUGGGGUUUGUCUUCCCAAGUAACUGCUAAGUGAUGGAGCCUGAUUUUCAUGGAGAUGGCUGAACACCUCCCUGACCAUGGGAAGCAUAACACUUCAUGUCUGGGACUGCCUUUUGCUUGAUGUAUAUCACCAGACUCACAGAAUGAACACACCCCAAGAAAUCAGCGUGUGCUGAUCAGACCUCACCUGCAGGUUGAUGAUGAACCACACUUCACAGGACUGAAUUGCUUUGGACUACGUUUGUGUUUGAGGAAAAGAAAUGUCAUGCAGAAACAGCAUCUGGAAGGGAGAGAUGAGUGGCAAUGACCUCUAGGUCAGCUUUGAGAAACUGCGGAUGGAGAAGUCAUCUCUCAUUUCUA